rnacentral:rRNA from 1 species
UGGGGAAUAUUGGACAAUGGGGGGAACCCUGAUCCAGCCAUGCCGCGUGUGUGAAGAAGGCCUUAUGGUUGUAAAGCACUUUAAGCGAGGAGGAGGGUACUGGUAUUAAUACUACCAGGUACUGGACGUUACUCGCAGAAUAAGCACCGGCUAACUCUGUGCCAGCAGCCGCGGUAAUACAGAGGGUGCAAGCGUUAAUCGGAAUUACUGGGCGUAAAGCGCGCGUAGGUGGUUCGUUAAGUUGAAUGUGAAAGCCCCGGGCUCAACCUGGGAACUGCAUCCAAAACUGGCGAGCUAGAGUAGGGCAAAGGGUGGUGGAAUUUCCUGUGUAGCGGUGAAAUGCGUAGAUAUAGGAAGGAACACCAGUGGCGAAGGCGACCACCUGGGCUCAUACUGACACUGAGGUGCGAAAGCGUGGGGAGCAAACAGG